UCAAGUUAUUAAGGGUGCAGGGCGGAUGCCUUGGCACUAGGAGCCGAUGAAGGACGUGAUAAGCUGCGAUAAGCUUCGGGGAGUUGCACGUAAACUUUGAUCCGAAGAUUUCCGAAUGAGGAAACUCACUUAGAGUAAUGUCUAAGUAUCAUUAAGUGAAUACAUAGCUUAAUGAGGGGAACUCAGGGAACUGAAACAUCUAAGUACCUGAAGGAAGAGAAAGAAAUUCGAUUCCGUAAGUAGCGGCGAGCGAACGCGGAUUAGCCCAAACCAAUAAAGUUUUCUUUAUUGGGGUUGCGGACAUAUCAUAACGAAGAGGUAUCGUAAUUGAAGAGGUUUGGAAAGACCCACCACAGAAGGUAAUAGUCCUGUAUGUUAAACGAGAAGACUUUAGAUAUGAUCCAGAGUACCACGGGACACGUGAAACCCUGUGGGAAGCAGGAGGGACCACCCUCCAAGGCUAAAUACUACCUAGUGACCGAUAGCGUAUAGUACCGUGAGGGAAAGGUGAAAAGAACCCCGGGAGGGGAGUGAAAUAGAACCUGAAACCCUGCACUUACAAGCUGUGGAAGCACAUUUCUUGUGUGACCGCGUACUUUUUGUAGAACGGGCCAACGAGUUACGUUAAGUAGCAAGGUUAAGCACUUAAGGUGCGGAGCCGUAGCGAAAGCGAGUUUUAACUGAGCGUUCAGUUACUUGACGUAGACCCGAAACCGGGCGACCUACCCAUGAGCAGGAUGAAGCGAAAGUAAAAUUUCGUGGAGGUCCGAACCCACGAGCGUUGAAAAGCUCGGGGAUGACUUGUGGGUAGCGGUGAAAUUCCAAUCGAGCCCGGAGAUAGCUGGUUCUCCCCGAAAUAGCUUUAGGGCUAGCCUCAAGGUGAGAGAUACGGAGGUAGAGCACUGAAUGUCCUAGGGGGUAUUGCACCUACCGAAGACUAUCAAACUCCGAAUGCCGUCAUCUUAUACUUGGGAGUCAGACUGUGGGUGAUAAGAUUCAUAGUCGAAAGGGCAACAGCCCAGAUCGUCAGCUAAGGUCCCUAAAUGUAAGUUAAGUGGUAAAGGAUGUGGGAUUGCACAGACAACCAGGAUGUUGGCUUAGAAGCAGCCACUCAUUCAAAGAGUGCGUAAUAGCUCACUGGUCGAGUGAUCCUGCGCCGAAGAUUUCCGGGGCUAAAACUUACUACCGAAGCUACGGCAUCAGUAAUGAUGGGUAGGGGAGCUUCCCAUAUGGGUUGAAGCAUGACCGUAAGGACAUGUGGACAGUAUGGGAGUGAGAAUGUUGGCAUGAGUAGCGAGAUGUGGGUGAGAAUCCCACAGGCCGUAAACCCAAGGUUUCCAGGGGAAGGUUCGUCCGCCCUGGGUUAGUCGGGACCUAAGCUGAGGCCGAAAGGCGUAGGUGAUGGACAACAGGUUGAUAUUCCUGUACUACCGAUAACCGUUUGAGAGAAGGGAUGACACAGUAGGAUAAGCUAAGCACACUGUUGGUUAUGUGUGCCCAAGCAUUGAGGCAGUCAAAGUAGGCAAAUCCGCUUUGAUAAUGCUGGGAUGUGAUGGGGAGCGAAAUUUAGUAGCGAAGUAGCUGAUUUCACACUGUCAAGAAAAGUCUCUAUCGAGGUUAAAGGUACCCGUACCGCAAACCGACACAGGUGGGUGAGGAGAGUAUCCUAAGGCCAGCGAGAGAACUGUUGUUAAGGAACUCGGCAAAAUGACCCCGUAACUUAGGGAUAAGGGGUGCCACCAUCAGGUGGCCGCAGAGAAUAGGCCCAAGCGACUGUUUACCAAAAACAUAGGUUUCUGCUAAGUCGCAAGACGAUGUAUAGGAGCUGACGCCUGCCCGGUGCUGGAAGGUUAAGGGGAUCUGUUAGAGCAAUCGAAGCAGUGAACUUAAGCCCCAGUAAACGGCGGCCGUAACUAUAACGGUCCUAAGGUAGCGAAAUUCCUUGUCGGGUAAGUUCCGACCCGCACGAAAGGCGUAACGAUUUGGGCACUGUCUCAACAACAGACUCGGUGAAAUUGUAAUUCCGGUGAAGAUGCCGGAUACCUGCGACAGGACGGAAAGACCCCAUGGAGCUUUACUGUAGCUUGACAUUGGGUCUUGGUACUACAUGUACAGGAUAGGUGGGAGGCUUUGAAACCAGGACGCCAGUUUUGGCGGAGCCAUCCUUGGGAUACCACCCUUGUAGUACUGGGACUCUAACCAUAGGCCAUGAAUCUGGUCUUGGGACACUGUCAGGUGGGCAGUUUGACUGGGGCGGUCGCCUCCCAAAAGGUAACGGAGGCGCUCAAAGGUUCUCUCAGUACGGUCGGAAAUCGUACGUAGAGUGUAAAGGCAAAAGAGAGCUUGAUUGCAAGACAUACAGGUCGAGCAAGGAUGAAAAUCGGACUUAGUGAUCCGGUGGUUCUGCGUGGAAGGGCCAUCGCUCAACGGAUAAAAGCUACCCUGGGGAUAACAGGCUUAUCUCCCCCAAGAGUCCACAUCGACGGGGAGGUUUGGCACCUCGAUGUCGGCUCAUCACAUCCUGGGGCUGUAGUAGGUCCCAAGGGUUGGGCUGUUCGCCCAUUAAAGUGGUACGCGAGCUGGGUUCAGAACGUCGUGAGACAGUUCGGUCCCUAUCCGUCGCAGGCGUAGGAAAUUUGAGAAGACCUGUCCUUAGUACGAGAGGACCGGGAUGGACGUACCUCUGGUGUACCAGUUGUCCUGCCAAGGGCAUGGCUGGGUAGCUAUGUACGGAAUGGAUAAGCGCUGAAAGCAUCUAAGCGCGAAGCCAACUUCAAGAUAAGAUUUCCCACCGCAAGGGUAAGACCCCAGAAAGACUAUCUGGUUGAUAGGUCGAAGGUGUAAGUGCAGCAAUGUAUUUAGCUUAUCGAUACUAAUAGGUCGAGGACUUGACCAA
rnacentral:rRNA from 1 species